AUUGAACGCUGGCGGCAUGCCUUACACAUGCAAGUCGAACGGUAGCGCGGGGGCAACCCUGGCGACGAGUGGCGAACGGGUGAGUAAAGUAUCGGAACGUGCCCUAGAGUGGGGGAUAACUAGUCGAAAGACUAGCUAAUACCGCAUACGAUCUAUGGAUGAAAGUGGGGGAUCGCAAGACCUCAUGCUCAUGGAGCGGCCGAUAUCUGAUUAGCUAGNGGUAGGGUAAAGCCUACCAAGGCGACGAUCAGUAGCUGGUCUGAGAGGACGACCAGCCACACUGGGACUGAGACACGGCCCAGACUCCUACGGGAGGCAGCAGUGGGGAAUUUUGGACAAUGGGGGCAACCCUGAUCCAGCAAUGCCGCGUGAGUGAAGAAGGCCU
rnacentral:rRNA from 1 species